GUGGCAUACGGCUCAGUAACACGUAGUCAACAUGCCCAGGGGACGUGGAUAACCUCGGGAAACUGAGGAUAAACCGCGAUAGGCCAAGAUUUCUGGAAUGGAUCAUGGCUGAAAUCUAUAUGGCCCCUGGAUUGGACUGCGGCCGAUCAGGCUGUUGGUGAGGUAAUGGCCCACCAAACCUAUAACCGGUACGGGCUUUGAGAGAAGGAGCCCGGAGAUGGGCACUGAGACAAGGGCCCAGGCCCUAUGGGGCGCAGCAGGCGCGAAAACUCUGCAAUAGGCGAAAGCUUGACAGGGUUACUCUGAGUGAUGUCCGUUAAGGGCAUCUUUUGGUACCUCUAAAAAUGGUGCAGAAUAAGGGGUGGGCAAGUCUGGUGUCAGCCGCCGCGGUAAUACCAGCACCCCGAGUGGUCGGGACGAUUAUUGGGCCUAAAGCAUCCGUAGCCGGUUUUACAAGUCCUCCGUUAAAUCCAACUGCUUAACAGAUGGGCCGCGGAGGAUACUAUAAGACUAGGAGGCAGGAGAGGCAAGCGGUACUCAGUGGGUAGGGGUAAAAUCCGUUGAUCCAUUGAAGACCACCAGUGGCGAAGGCGGCUUGCCAGAAUGCGCUCGACGGUGAGGGAUGAAAGCUGGGGAGCAAACCGGAUUAGAUACCCGGGUAGUCCCAGCUGUAAACGAUGCAGACUCGGUGAUGGACUAGCUUAAUGCUAG
rnacentral:rRNA from 1 species